rnacentral:rRNA from 1 species
UACAGAGGGUGCAAGCGUUGUUCGGAAUUAUUGGGCGUAAAGGGCGCGUAGGCGGUGCGGUAAGUCUGCAGUGAAAUCUCUGGGCUCAACUCAGAGUCUGCUGUAGAAACUGCCGUGCUUUGAGUGUGGGAGAGGUGAGUGGAAUUCCUGGUGUAGCGGUGAAAAUGCGUAGAUAUCAGGAGGAACACCGGUGGUGUAAACGGCUUUCUGGACCAUAACUGACGCUGAGGCACGAAAGCGUGGGUAGCAAACAGG